rnacentral:rRNA from 1 species
CUUGCUUCUCUUGAGAGCGGCGGACGGGUGAGUAAUGCCUAGGAAUCUGCCUGGUAGUGGGGGAUAACGUUCGGAAACGGACGCUAAUACCGCAUACGUCCUACGGGAGAAAGCAGGGGACCUUCGGGCCUUGCGCUAUCAGAUGAGCCUAGGUCGGAUUAGCUAGUUGGUGGGGUAAUGGCUCACCAAGGCGACGAUCCGUAACUGGUCUGAGAGGAUGAUCAGUCACACUGGAACUGAGACACGGUCCAGACUCCUACGGGAGGCAGCAGUGGGGAAUAUUGGACAAUGGGCGAAAGCCUGAUCCAGCCAUGCCGCGUGUGUGAAGAAGGUCUUCGGAUUGUAAAGCACUUUAAGUUGGGAGGAAGGGUUGUAGAUUAAUACUCUGCAAUUUUGACGUUACCGACAGAAUAAGCACCGGCUAACUCUGUGCCAGCAGCCGCGGUAAUACAGAGGGUGCAAGCGUUAAUCGGAAUUACUGGGCGUAAAGCGCGCGUAGGUGGUUUGUUAAGUUGGAUGUGAAAUCCCCGGGCUCAACCUGGGAACUGCAUUCAAAACUGACUGACUAGAGUAUGGUAGAGGGUGGUGGAAUUUCCUGUGUAGCGGUGAAAUGCGUAGAUAUAGGAAGGAACACCAGUGGCGAAAGCGACCACCUGGACUAAUACUGACACUGAGGUGCGAAAGCGUGGGGAGCAAACAGGAUUAGAUACC